rnacentral:rRNA from 1 species
CCUACGGGGGGCAGCAGUGAGGAAUAUUGGUCAAUGGGCGAGAGCCUGAACCAGCCAAGUCGCGUGAGGGAGUACUGCCCUAUGGGUUGUAAACCUCUUUUGUCGGGGAGCAAAAGCCGGACGUGUCCGGCUGUGAGAGUACCCGAAGAAAAAGCAUCGGCUAACUCCGUGCCAGCAGCCGCGGUAAUACGUAUGGGGCAAGCGUUAUCCGGAUUUACUGGGGGUAAAGGGAGCGUAGGCGGGAGGGCAAGCCUGAUGUGAAAGCCCGGGGCUCAACCCCGGGACUGCAUUGGGAACUGCCCCGCUCGAGUGCCGGAGGGGCAGGCGGAAUUCCGAGUGUAGCGGUGAAAUGCGUAGAUAUUAGGAGGAACACCAGUGGCGAAGGCGGCCUGCUGGACGGUGUACUGACGCUGAGGCUCGAAAGCGUGGGGAGCAAACAGGAUUAGAUACCCUAGUAGUC